CCAGCCCCUAUUUUGAAAAGCAAAAAAAAAAAACAGAGAGUUUCUUGGCUCUCUCUCCCUCAUUUCCCCUUUUGCUAGGGUUUAUACCUAUCAUUGCCGCCGCCAUGGAGCCACCGUAGGUGGUGGUCGGGGUUGCUUGAAUGGGGGCUUUUGACCCCGAUUUUGGGGGCGCCUGAAGGCCCUAUUUUCUUAGCCCGAAAAUCUGAAGGGAGAGACCCCCAUUUUCCUUUUUGAGAGCCGAUUUCAACGACGGAGUAGGGCUCCGAUGUCGCGGCUCCGAAGUUCAGGGUAUGGAGGAGUUGGUGGGAGUGUGUGAUGCCUGGGAAUGGUGCUGCAGAGGCAUGGGGUGGCAAACAUCACGGGGUGGCCAGGGUUCUUUUUUUCUUUGCUAUUUUUUAUUAUUGGUCUGGGCUAGGGUUAGUAGUUUGGGUUGUUUUGUAUUGGGUUUUAAGGGGUUUGAAUAAUUGGGUUGUAUUUGGGCCAAAAUUGGUCUACAACAGAAGCUUUUUGAUAGAUUUUUAAAUCCCAUUAUUUUUUUUCACGUAAA